ensembl:snRNA U6 U6 spliceosomal RNA
GUACUCACUUCCACAGCACAUAUACCAAAAAAAUUGGAACGAUUCAGAGAAGUUUAUCGUAGCCCCUGCACAAGGAUGAUGCGCAGAUUCAUGAAGUGUUUUUUACUUUU